rnacentral:rRNA from 1 species
UUAAGGAUUGUAAACUCCUUUUGUUAGAGAAGAUAAUGACGGUAUCUAACGAAUAAGCACCGGCUAACUCCGUGCCAGCAGCCGCGGUAAUACGGAGGGUGCAAGCGUUACUCGGAAUCACUGGGCGUAAAGAGCGCGUAGGCGGGAUAGUCAGUCAGGUGUGAAAUCCUAUGGCUUAACCAUAGAACUGCAUUUGAAACUACUAUUCUAGAGUGUGGGAGAGGUAGGUGGAAUUCUUGGUGUAGGGGUAAAAUCCGUAGAGAUCAAGAGGAAUACUCAUUGCGAAGGCGACCUGCU